CCGGACUGCUCGGGGUUAGGCUGGGCAUCGGUCAGCGAGUGAACUCCUCACUGAAUAAAAUGUCUAAUUUCUGUCAUGCAAACAGAUGUGUGCCUAAUAUGAAGACCUCUGAUCUUGAAUGCACUGGGGAUAAUUUUAAGAUCUGUGAACAUGCUAAAUAAAUUGUUCUUUCUCCAUUGUUCUGCAACUCUGCAUUCUGUCCAAAUUCACUAUAUAUGGAAACAUUCAUCCUGAUCUCUGUGAAGCAGUGCUCUCAAAGGCUCUCCAAAAGACUGUCUAACCAAAAUAUAUUGCCAUUUCAAAUAUUCAAACAGGAUAAUUUAAAUUAAAUAUCUAUAUCCUCUCUUUUUAUCUUUUUUUUUGUUUUGUUUUGUUUUGUUGUUAUUUAUUAUAAUUUCUAUUGGUCCUAUUAGAAUGCUUUUUUUAUUUUUAUUUUAUUAUUGUUAUUAUUUUUUACUUAAGGGAAUAUAUAGACAAAAUAUUUAUAUCUUUACAUUUGCAAAAAACAUUCUGUCUUUAAGUAUGGGAAUCUAAGUGAAAAUAAAUGUUUUGAAGUUGUCAAA